rnacentral:rRNA from 1 species
UUAAAUUAAUAGAUAUUAACUUUACUUAAUAACCCGAAAUAGGUAGAGCUAAUUUAAAUUAGAGUUUUGGGCUAUAUAGUAUAAUGUGGCAAAAUUAUAAAAUAAAUUUUAAUUAGGGGUGAAAGGCCUAUCAAUACCUAUAGAUAUCUGGAUAAGCCUUAAAAAUAUUUAGUAUUAUGAGUCAUAUAUAAAAUUUUAAGGUUUUAUAUUAAAAAAAUAGUGUUAGUAGAAUAAUAGUAAAUAAAUUAAUCUUUAUUUGCUUUUGUAAUAAUAAAAUUAUUUUACUAUAAAAUUUUAAUUUCUAAGGUUUCACUGCAUUUAAUAUAAUAUAGAGUGGAUUUUGUUUAAAUUAGUAAUAGUAUAUAAACUAUUUAAAAGGAACUCGGCAAAUGAGAAUCUCAACUGUUUAUCAAAAACAUAGCUAGCUGUUGUUUUACCUAGUUCUUUCUGCCCGGUGAUAAAUUUUAACGGCCGCAGUACACUGACUGUGCAAAGGUAGCAUAAUAAUUUGACUUUUAAUUGAAGUCCAGUAUAAACGGGAACAUGGGAUAAGACUGUCUCUUAUUUAUUUAUAUUAAAUUACUCUAGAAAGUGAAAAGACUUUCGCCGAUUUAAAAGACGAGAAGACCCUAUGAAUUUUUAUUAAGAAGGUAAGCAUACUUUUAUUUUUUUGUUGGGGCAACAAAUUGACACCGGUUUAUAAUAAACUUUACAGCAAAUUAAUUUUAAUGCGAACUUAGGUGAAAGGAAUAAGUAUACACCGAAUGUUAUUAAUCAAAAGUAAAUUACUAUAGGGAUAACAGCAUAAUUUUAUUAACUAGAUGGUGACCUCGAUGUUGGACUAGGAAACAAUUAAGGUAGCACUUUAAUUGGGUGGUUCUGUUCGAACCUUACUUCCU